rnacentral:rRNA from 1 species
AUGUGUGACAGUGACGUUUCUGAAAUGAUGAAUAAAGGUAUUCCUCGUCCAAACAUUGCAUUCUUCAGUUCAAUAGUACACAGUCUAUGCAAAGAAGGAAGGGUUAUGGAUGCACACCAUAUCUUUGACUUGGUUAAAGACAUAGGUGAGAGACCUGACAUCAUUAUGUUUAAUACGCUGAUUGACGGAUAUUGCCUAGUCGGUGAGAUGGGCAAAGCAUUCAUGGUACUUGAUGUCAUGACAUCAGCUGGCAUUGAGCCUGAUGCCAUUACGUAUAGUACACUUGUCAGUGGAUAUUGUAAAAGUGGAAGGAUCGAUGAUGGGUUGAUUCUGUUCAGAGAAAUGUUGCAUAAGAAAUGUUACAUA